GAUGAACGCUGGCGGCGUGCCUAAUACAUGCAAGUCGAGCGAACAGACGAGGAGCUUGCUCCUCUGACGUUAGCGGCGGACGGGUGAGUAACACGUGGAUAACCUACCUAUAAGACUGGGAUAACUUCGGGAAACCGGAGCUAAUACCGGAUAAUAUAUUGAACCGCAUGGUUCAAUAGUGAAAGACGGUUUUGCUGUCACUUAUAGAUGGAUCCGCGCCGCAUUAGCUAGUUGGUAAGGUAACGGCUUACCAAGGCAACGAUGCGUAGCCGACCUGAGAGGGUGAUCGGCCACACUGGAACUGAGACACGGUCCAGACACCUACGGGAGGAAGCAGUAGGGAAUCUUCCGCAAUGGGCGAAAGCCUGACGGAGCAACGCCGCGUGAGUGAUGAAGGUCUUAGGAUCGUAAAACUCUGUUAUUAGGGAAGAACAAAUGUGUAAGUAACUAUGCACGUCUUGACGGUACCUAAUCAGAAAGCCACGGCUAACUACGUG
rnacentral:rRNA from 1 species